rnacentral:rRNA from 1 species
AUGGCGCCGCCGCCAAGGCAUGGUUGCAUGCUCCGUGCCGAGGUGGUCAUAUGCAUAUUCCUCGUCAUAGCACCGUUCAGCAUGGCGAUCGGUGUCAACUACGGCACCAAGGGUGACAACCUUCCAUCGCCGGCUAAGGUUGCGGCAUUCCUCGUGACCCGCACAAACAUUGACCGUGUAAAGCUGUUUGACACCAAGCCGGACAUUAUCCGGGCCUUCGCUGGCACGGGCAUCUCGGUAAUGGUCACAGCAAGCAAUGGCGACAUCCCUGGCCUCACCACCCAGAACGGCGCCGAUGCAUGGGUCGCUACCAAUAUCGCGCCAUACUACCCCGCCACAGAUAUAUCUCUCGUCGCCGUUGGCAACGAGAUCAUGGACACGGCCGACAAGAAUCUCAUCAGCAACCUCGUCCCCGCUAUGCAGACACUCAAGGCCGCGCUCGUCACGGCUGGCUACGGCAAAAUUCGUGUUUCCACGCCAAGCUCACUCGGCAUCCUGGUUGACGCCCAGCCGCCGUCCGCGGCUCGGUUUCGCGAUGUCUGGGAUGUUGCCAUCUUCACGCCGAUGCUCCAAUUUCUCCGGAAGACCAAGUCCCCACUCAUCGUGAACACGUACCCGUACUUUGGGUACAACGGUGACACGCUACCGUACGCGCUGGCGCGGCCGAACCCUGGCGUGCUAGACACGGGUACGGGCAUCACAUACACGAGCAUGCUUGAGGCACAGCUUGACUCGGUGUACUCUGCAAUGAAGAAACUUGGGUUUGAGGACGUGGAGAUCCUGGUGGGGGAGACCGGGUGGCCGACUAAGGCGAUGGACGGGCAGAUAGGCGUGAGCCCGGCCGAGGCGGCGGAGUACAACAAAUAUCUCAUCGGUGAGGUUAGCUCCGGGUCAGGCACACCGCUCAUGCCAAAGCGGAAGUUCGAGACGUACAUAUUCGCGCUCUUCAACGAGGACCUCAAGCCCGGGCCCGUGGCCGAGCGCAAUUUCGGGAUGUUCCAGCCAGACUUCACGCCGAUGUAUGACAUUGGCAUCAUGAAAGAUCCGGUCAAAACGGCACCGCCUAUGGCCGCCACAGCUCAUGCCUUGGAGGCUGCGGGGCCUACAGAGGCGAACGGCUCGAACAGCGCCAAGGCGUCCGCGCCGGCAGGCAACAAAUCCUCGACCAAUGACAGGACGCCGGAGGAGGUGGAAGGACUGGAUACUCCGUCAUCGGCGAAGGGCGAGCCGUCAGAAUUGGACUCGUCGGAGGCAGCAGCCAAGGGUGGUGACGGCGAAGAAGAAAACAGUGAGAAAACCAAACCCAAAGAAGAGAGUGCAACGCCGCGGGCGGCCGGAGCUGCUUCAGAAGCCACCAACUUUCUUUUUCCGAUCCCUUGCAUACUUGCAGUUGCGCUCUGUCUAACUGUCCAUGUCUAA